AUUGAACGCUGGCGGCAGGCCUAACACAUGCAAGUCGAGCGGCAGCGACAUAAACAAUCCUUCGGGUGCGUUUAUGGGCGGCGAGCGGCGGACGGGUGAGUAAUGCCUGGGAAUAUGCCCUGAUGUGGGGGAUAACCAUUGGAAACGAUGGCUAAUACCGCAUAAUCUCUUCGGAGCAAAGAGGGGGACCUUCGGGCCUCUCGCGUCAGGAUUAGCCCAGGUGAGAUUAGCUAGUUGGUGAGGUAAGAGCUCACCAAGGCGACGAUCUCUAGCUGGUCUGAGAGGAUGAUCAGCCACACUGGAACUGAGACACGGUCCAGACUCCUACGGGAGGCAGCAGUGGGGAAUAUUGCACAAUGGGGGAAACCCUGAUGCAGCCAUGCCGCGUGUGUGAAGAAGGCCUUCGGGUUGUAAAGCACUUUCAGUUGUGAGGAAGGCAUAUACGUUAAUAGCGUGUGUGUUUGACGUUAGCAACAGAAGAAGCACCGGCUAACUCCGUGCCAGCCGCCGCCGUAACAC
rnacentral:rRNA from 1 species